rnacentral:rRNA from 1 species
AGGAAAUAGAUACCCGGGUAGUCCACGCCCUAAACGAUGACAACUGGCUUUCCGGAGUAUCGACCCUCUGGGAGGCGAAAGCUAAACGCGUUAAAGUUGUCCGCCUGGGUAGUACGGCCGCAAGGCUAAAACUCAAAGGAAUAGACGGGGCUUGCACAAGCGGUGGAGCGUGUGGCUUAAUUCGUCGCUAAGCGAAGAACCUUACCAGGGCUAGAAAUCCUACUGCACGUCUAGCGAAAGCUAGAAAGCCUUCGAGGGUGUAGGACAGGUGAUGCAUGGCUGUCGUCAGUUCGUGGUUUGAAUCGUUCCCUUCAGUGGGGUAACGAACGCAACCCUCGUUGCCAGUUACAAGUGUCUGGCGAGACUGCCCCCUCACGGGGGAGGAAGGUGAGGAUGACGCCAAGUCAGCAUGUCCCUCUGAUGUCCU